AUUGCCCCCAGCAGCACUGUAGGUGUGGCUACUGUGUCACAUAUACAUUAAUAGAUAGCUGAGAGAGACUAUGUCUAACCUUAGUGUUCUGAGCCGUGACCAUCUGAAUGAUUAAUAGCCUAACAUC